AGAGUUUGAUCAUGGCUCAGGACGAACGCUGGCGGCGCGCCUAACACAUGCAAGUCGAACGAGAGAGAGGGAGCUUGCUUCCUCAAUCGAGUGGCGAACGGGUGAGUAACGCGUGAGGAACCUGCCUCAAAGAGGGGGACAACAGUUGGAAACGACUGCUAAUACCGCAUAAGCCCACAGGUCGGCAUCGACCAGAGGGAAAAGGAGCAAUCCGCUUUGAGAUGGCCUCGCGUCCGAUUAGCUAGUUGGUGAGGUAAUGGCCCACCAAGGCAACGAUCGGUAGCCGGACUGAGAGGUUGAACGGCCACAUUGGGACUGAGACACGGCCCAGACUCCUACGGGAGGCAGCAGUGGGGAAUAUUGCACAAUGGGGGAAACCCUGAUGCAGCGACGCCGCGUGGAGGAAGAAGGUCUUCGGAUUGUAAACUACUGUUGUUGAGGAAGAUAAUGACGGUACUCAACAAGGAAGUGACGGCUAACUACGUGCCAGCAGCCGCGGUAAAACGUAGGUCACAAGCGUUGUCCGGAAUUACUGGGUGUAAAGGGAGCGCAGGCGGGAAGACAAGUUGGAAGUGAAAUCUAUGGGCUCAACCCAUAAACUGCUUUCAAAACUGUUUUUCUUGAGUAGUGCAGAGGUAGGCGGAAUUCCCGGUGUAGCGGUGGAAUGCGUAGAUAUCGGGAGGAACACCAGUGGCGAAGGCGGCCUACUGGGCACCAACUGACGCUGAGGCUCGAAAGUGUGGGUAGCAAACAGGAUUAGAUACCCUGGUAGUCCACACCGUAAACGAUGACUACUAGGUGUUGGAGGAUUGACCCCUUCAGUGCCGCAGUUAACACAAUAAGUAAUCCACCUGGGGAGUACGACCGCAAGGUUGAAACUCAAAGGAAUUGACGGGGGCCCGCACAAGCAGUGGAGUAUGUGGUUUAAUUCGACGCAACGCGAAGAACCUUACCAAGUCUUGACAUCCUGCGACGAUGCUGGAAACAGUAUUUUCCUUCGGGACGCAGAGACAGGUGGUGCAUGGUUGUCGUCAGCUCGUGUCGUGAGAUGUUGGGUUAAGUCCCGCAACGAGCGCAACCCUUACUGUCAGUUACUACGCAAGAGGACUCUGGCAGGACUGCCGUUGACAAAACGGAGGAAGGUGGGGAUGACGUCAAAUCAUCAUGCCCUUUAUGACUUGGGCUACACACGUACUACAAUGGCG
rnacentral:rRNA from 1 species